rnacentral:rRNA from 1 species
GACGAACGCUGGCGGCGUGCUUAGCACAUGCAAGUCGAACGAUGAAGAAAAGAAUCGAAGCUUCGGCAGAAAUUCAUUUCGGAUUAGUGGCAGACGGGUGAGUAACGCGUGAGCAACCUACCUCUUACAAAGGGAUAGCCUCGGGAAACCGGGAUUAAUACCAUAUAACAUUGCGACGAAGCAUUUCGAUGCAAUCAAAGCUACGGCGGUAAGAGAUGGGCUCGCGUCCCAUUAACCGGAUGGUGAGGUAACGGCUCACCAUAGUGACGAUGGGUAACCGGCCUGAGAGGGUGAACGGUCACACUGGAACUGAGACACGGUCCAGACUCCUACGGGAGGCAGCAGUGGGGAAUAUUGCACAAUGGAGGGAACUCUGAUGCAGCGACGCCGCGUGAGUGAUGAAGGAAUUCGUUUCGUAAAACUCUGUUCUAUGGGAAGAAAAGGACUGUACCAUAGGAGAAAGCUCCGGCUAAAUACGU